GGCCAGACUCCUACGGGAGGCAGCAGUGGGGAAUAUUGCACAAUGGGGGAAACCCUGAUGCAGCGACGCCGCGUGAGUGAAGAAGUAUUUCGGUAUGUAAAGCUCUAUCAGCAGGGAAGAAAAUGACGGUACCUGACUAAGAAGCCCCGGCUAACUACGUGCCAGCAGCCGCGGUAAUACGUAGGGGGCAAGCGUUAUCCGGAUUUACUGGGUGUAAAGGGAGCGCAGGCGGUGAGGCAAGUCUGAUGUGAAAACCCGGGGCUCAACUCCGGGACUGCAUUGGAAACUGUCUUACUUGAGUACCGGAGAGGUAAGUGGAAUUCCUAGUGUAGCGGUGAAAUGCGUAGAUAUUAGGAGGAACACCAGUGGCGAAGGCGGCUUACUGGACGGUAACUGACGCUGAGGCUCGAAAGCGUGGGGAGCAAACAGGAUUAGAUACCCUGGUAG
rnacentral:rRNA from 1 species